AUGAUACAAAUGCUGUGUGAAGCCGCUGGGUAUAUCUGGGCAAAUUGGGGACAGAAAAACUCUACUCAGCCUCAGCUGGGCACAGAACCCUUGAAAAGUGAAGCUGGAUGAACUCUCAACUGAUCUCUCAGUCCAUCUCCUCCUUCCACAGCAGAAUCAGAACUGCUUGUGUCAUUCCUGGUGUGUGCAGGGCAGUUGUUUCACUUGCAUUUUUAGCAGACUUUGACCUGGCACUGGGCUGUUCCUGCACCUCUCCAUGCUCUGCUCACUGUUGAGCACCUCCUGUUCUCAGUCUCUUGAUUCAGGUCAUGUUUCCAUUGUCCUGCUGUGUUGCCUGUCAGCCUUUCCCGAGGAGCAGCACCCAAACCUGGCUGUGCAUCUGCACUCAGGUGUUGCAGAGGACCUGUGAGAUGUCUGGCAGUGAGCCAUUGGAAACUGCUCUCAGACUGCAGAUUCCAACCAGAUUUGUGUCAGGACUUCAGCCAAGGCAUUCUUCACAUAUGGAUGUCACGUGGGACAAUGUCAGGAGCCUCAGGUGUGUGGGACCUGCUGCUUCUAUCUCAUCUACAAAGUCUCAUCCAUUGGAGAGCAGAAUUGGAUUGCAUCAGCUUGUUUUGUUCCUGAGGGAUCCGUGUAGACAAGACUCAUCUCCCUGUUAGUUUCUAUACACUUAGAAAGCAUUCUGAUUAUUCUGCUGUUUUACUUUUCCUGGGUGUUAAAUCUUUUUAUAUCUUACUUGUCCUGUUUGAUUUGUGGACAACUCCCAGUGUUUGAAAGUGUGAGAACUUUGUGGACAGUUGGGAAGGCAACAGAUCCAAACGUCUCACUGGGAGAAAUGCUGUGGCAAAUGUGAAUUUCCUGUGAUAAUUCACAGAGUCACAAGUGGUUUUCAAGAGAGUGGUGGAAGGAAUGUUUUGACAAAAAGAAAUUAUUUCAUUUCAGUCUGAGAAAUGAUGAUGCAAAUCAGCAUGACUUAAAAAAGAGAUUUCCAGGGAGUCUUGAGAGAAUUCUGAACAGUUUGAGCUGCAAGUCUGAGCAGCCUUGUAGAAAUUGUCUGGUAGAUUAGAAAUUGAGAAAAAAAAUCUUCCCUGGGAGGGUGGGCAGGCCCUGGCACAGGGUGCCCAGAGCAGCUGUGGCUGCCCCUGGAUCCCUGGCAGUGCCCAAGGCCAGGCUGGACACUGGGGCUUGGAGCAGCCUGGGACAACAGCAGAUGUCCCUGCCCAUGACAGGGGGUGGAACGGGAUGAUUUUUAAGCUCCCUUCAACCCAAAGCAGUCUGUGAUUCUAUAUUAAAUAUGGCCAGGGCCAUGUAAAAGAAGAAGUUGUGAAGGAAGAAUUUGGGAAACCCAAUUUUGGGGUGCACAGACUUUUUUGCUAUAAUAGAUUGGUAGUGAACAUCUAAGAAAUCAGAACUAGAGUUUAGACUAAAUUUCAUAACCUUUUAACCUAGAGAGCCUGGCUCUUGUUUGCAGAGUGUUUUCUGAACUCUCCUACAGGCUCAGUGUUGACAGGAGCUUAAUCACAGCACAGGGUGACCUUUGCACAGCUCAGUGAGAAGUGCCCCUGUGCUGGGCUUUGGAAUCUCCUGCUCACUGCACACACAUGGCUGCAGGUCUGAUCCCUCCAAAACAACGGAUUAUCCUGGGCUCUGUAGCACUUGUGGAGUGUUUGAUACUGUGUGGGUGGGAAGUGCAUGCAUAUUUAUGUGAACACUCCAGCAGAUGAGUGGAGGAAGAAAGAAUAACCAUUGCAGUUGGGAUGAACGAUUUGCUGUUAUUCAGAAAUACUGAAUUUGCCUGAAUUCUGUAUUUUACAAAAAAAAAGAAAACAAAAAACAAAAA